CCUGGCGGCACUAGCGCGGUGGUCCCACCUGACCCCAUGCCGAACUCAGAAGUGAAACGCCGUAGCGCCGUUGGU
rnacentral:rRNA from 1 species